GGCAACAGGAGGGUAUGUGCGAAAUCUGCAUUUCUGUUGUGAUUACAUUUCAUAAUGGUGUGCGUGUCUCCUCUUUAUCACACAGUGGCUCCACCCAGCCCUCCUGACUCAGACGUGCCAGUGCUGCUCAUCGUGUGUGUAACCCUUGCUGUGGUUUUGGUGGUGGUUUUUCUGGGGAUCGACUAUGGCUUCCAACGCCACAGGUAGUAUAAACCCUAGAGGGUGUCUCACACACAGGACAGUCAAUGGACCUAUUCAAAUACCCUUAACAUGUAUUGUUCCUUCUUUCCAUGAGGAAAUCAAUGAUCCGACACUUUGAUUAACGCAAUGGGGAACGCACGUUUUCACGUAUCCACUCUUGUACUGAUCAGUGAUUACCUCAGGGAAGGGAGGAAAGAAAGCAUCCAUUUUAGAGCUAUUCACUCACUGCACAGAUAUAACAUGGUGGUAAGUCUCCUCUUCGUUUCCAUCAGUGCUAAGAGAAACACAACUGACGCCAUGAGGAGACAUGGGUCCAUGAGGAUGAGUCCCGAAGGACUGGCUGUGGAACAUAGGCGUGUUUGUCUGUACAGGAUGUGCAUCUGCAUGCAAAUGUAUUGGCUGAAGCCCAGUAGCAACAUAUUCCAAAUGGCAUCCUAUUCCCUAUUUGGUGAAACUAUUUUGACCAGAGCCCUAUGAGUCCUGGUCAAAAUGAGUGUACUAUAAAGGGAAUAGGGUGCCAUUUGUAACACAACCAUCAUUUCAACAAAGUCUGGAGUUAAGUAUCACAUCAGUCUGUCUGCAAUAAACAUUUUGAGCAGCAAAAUCAAA